CGAAGCAGCUCUGUACAAUUGCAGUCGAUGAAACAUUGUACAGAG
rnacentral:ncRNA from 1 species